GUGCACCAGUCGAGAAACCUUCGCAAUGCAGGAAACUGCGACGAGGGAACUCCAAGUGCCUACGCUCAGCGUAGGCUGUUCUCAAGCCUAGAAAGCUUGAGGAGUAAGGGCUGGGUAAGACGGGUGCCGAUCUGUGGUAGCAGUCAAUAGAUUCGAUUUGUUACUGCAAGGGCAUAACGCCGCCGCGGUAAUACCCGCAGCCCCAAGUGGUGGCCGCUUUUAUUGGGCCUAAAGCGUCCGUAGCCGGCCCGGUAAAUGCCUGGGGUAAAUCGUGGAGCCCAACUUCACGAAUUCCGGGUAGACUGCCGAGCUCGGGGACCGGAAGAGGGAGAGGGUACUUC
rnacentral:rRNA from 1 species